AACGAACGCUGGCGGCAUGCCUAACACAUGCAAGUCGAACGAAGGCUUCGGCCUUAGUGGCGCACGGGUGCGCAACGCGUGGGAAUCUGCCCUUUGGUUCGGAAUAACAGCUGGAAACGGCUGCUAAUACCGGAUGAUGACGAAAGUCCAAAGAUUUAUCGCCAGAGGAUGAGCCCGCGUUGGAUUAGGUAGUUGGUGGGGUAAAGGCCUACCAAGCCGACGAUCCAUAGCCGGUCUGAGAGGAUGAUCAGCCACACUGGGACUGAGACACGGCCCAGACUCCUACGGGAGGCAGCAGUGGGGAAUAUUGGACAAUGGGCGCAAGCCUGAUCCAGCAAUGCCGCGUGAGUGAUGAAGGCCCUAGGGUUGUAAAGCUCUUUUACCCGGGAAGAUAAUGACUGUACCGGGAGAAUAAGCCCCGGCUAACUCCGUG
rnacentral:rRNA from 1 species